ACCUCGGUAGUGCAAUGGAUCAGCAUGGAAGACCGGCUAUCUGUAAGAGCGGGUUCGAGUCCCGCCUGAGGUU
rfam:Dictyocaulus viviparus strain HannoverDv2000 D_viviparus-1.0_Cont1427.4, whole genome shotgun sequence.